AUUGAACGCUGGCGGCAGGCCUAACACAUGCAAGUCGAACGAGUGGCGGAGGGGUGAGUAAUGUCUGGGAAACUCCCCGAUGGAGGGGGAUAACUUCUGUAAACAGUAGCUAAUACCGCAUAACAUGGGAUGUGCCGAGGUGGGUGUAGCUAGUAGGUGGGGGAACGGCUCACCUAGGCGACGAUCUCUAGCAGUUCUGAGAGGAUGACCAGCCACACUGGAACUGAGACACGGUCCAGACUCCUACGGGAGGCAGCAGUGGGGAAUAUUGCACAAUGGGCGCAAGCCUGAUGCAGCCAUGCCGCGUGUAUGAAGAAGGCCUUCGGGUUGUAAAGUACUUUCAGCGAGGAGGCGUUACUCGCAGAAGAAGCACCGGCUAACUCCGUGCCAGCAGCCGCGGUAAUUC
rnacentral:rRNA from 1 species